AUUGAACGCUGGCGGCAGGCCUAACACAUGCAAGUCGAACGAGUGGCGGACGGGUGAGUAAUGUCUGGGAAACUGCCCGAUGGAGGGGGAUCACUACUGGAAACGGUAGCUAAUACCGCAUACCAUCGGAUGUGCCCAGAUGGGAUUAGCUAGUAGGUGGGGUAAUGGCUCACCUAGGCGACGAUCCCUAGCUUGGCUGAGAGGAUGAACAGCCAAAAUGGAAAUGAGACACGGUCAAGACACCGACGUGAGGAAGAAGUGGGGAAUAUUGAACAAUGGGCGCAAGCCUGAUGCAGCCAUGCCGCGUGUAUGAAGAAGGCCGUCGGGUUGUAAAGUACUUUCAGCGAGGAGGCGUUACUCGCAGAAGAAGCACCGGCUAACUCCGUGCCAGCCGCCGCGGUAAUAC
rnacentral:rRNA from 1 species